rnacentral:rRNA from 1 species
UACAGAGGGUGCAAGCGUUGUUCGGAAUUACUGGGCGUAAAGCGCGUGUAGGCUGCAAGAUAAGUCGAACGUGAAAGCCCUCAGCUUAACUGAGGAAGUGCGUUUGAUACUGUCUCGCUAGAGUGUCGGAGGGGAUGGCGGAAUUCCCGGUGUAGAGGUGAAAUUCGUAGAUAUCGGGAGGAACACCUGUGGCGAAGGCGGCCAUCUGGACGACGACUGACGCUGAGACGCGAAAGCGUGGGUAGCAAACAGGAUUGAGAAACCC